AGGCGCGUGGCUUAGUGGUUAGGGCAUUCGGCUCAGGAUCGUAAGGUCGGGAGUUCGAUUCCCUGCGGCGC
rnacentral:tRNA from 1 species